rnacentral:rRNA from 1 species
ACUCCUACGGGAGGCAGCAGUGGGGAAUUUUGGACAAUGGGGGAAAGCCUGAUCCAGCAAUGCCGCGUGUGUGAAGAAGGCCUUCGGGUUGUAAAGCACUUUUAUCAGGGAGAAGGGCUGUAACUAAUAUCUGAUGAAUGACGUACC